rnacentral:rRNA from 1 species
GAUGAACGCUGGCGGCGUGCCUAAUACAUGCAAGUCGAGCGAACAGACGAGGAGCUUGCUCCUCUGACGUUAGCGGCGGACGGGUGAGUAACACGUGGAUAACCUACCUAUAAGACUGGGAUAACUUCGGGGAACCGGAGCUAAUACCGGAUAAUAUAUUGAACCGCAUGGUUCAAUAGUGAAAGACGGUUUUGCUGUCACUUAUAGAUGGAUCCGCGCCGCAUUAGCUAGUUGGUAAGGUAACGGCUUACCAAGGCAACGAUGCGUAGCCGACCUGAGAGGGUGAUCGGCCACACUGGAGCUGAGACACGGUCCAGACUCCUACGGGAGGCAGCAGUAGGGAAUCUUCCGCAAUGGGCGAAAGCCUGACGGAGCAACGCCGCGUGAGUGAUGAAGGUCUUCGGAUCGUAAAACUCUGUUAUUAGGGAAGAACAAAUGUGUAAGUAACUAUGCACGUCUUGACGGUACCUAAUCAGAAAGCCACGGCUAACUACGUG